AAACGUAGUCCAACAACGAAAGAGCCCUGAAGCUCAAGCGGAGCCCGCUGGCCGCAGGGGCCGCACCACGCCCCAGACCCUGGAGUUUCCGGGUGCGCAGACCCUUGCCAUCAGCAGAGGCUGCCGCUGCGCGUCCCCUAGGCGCGGAAGAGGCGGCUGGUGGUCCCUGACGGCAAGGUGAAGUCGAGGCAGUAAUCGGGAACCCAGGUUUUAUACAUUACGAAUAAAGCUGGCACGUUUCCAUUUCUCCUGGGCAAAUAUUUAGAAGAAAAGUUGCUGGGUAAUUGGUGGAGACAAGGUUUCGCCACAUUGACUGGGCUGGUCUGGAACUCCUGAGCUCAAGCAACCGGCCCUCCUUGACCUCCCAAAGUGCUAGGAUUACAGAAGCACUGAGACCACAGAGGCAAGAGCUGGGGAAGGAAAACUGCCCAUGAGAUGAGAUGUGCCUCUCAGCUUCCAAAAUCGGGGAGAUGCCCCCCAUGGAAUCCAGCCAUCAUGCUGUGAGGAAUCCAAGCAGCUACAUAGAAAGGCCACAACUAGAUAUUCCAGCUGUAGUCAGCUGAAGCUCCAGCCAACAGCCAACAUCAACCACCACACGUGAAAACGAGCAAGCCUUCAGAUGAUUCCGACUCCCAACCUCCAAGCCACCUCAGCUGAAGCCAAGUAGAGCAGAGACUAGCUGUCCCCCAAUGCUCUAAUAUGCAGAUUCAUAAUUAAAAAGAAUGUUAUUGUUCUAA
rnacentral:lncRNA from 1 species